rnacentral:misc_RNA from 1 species
GAUGAAGAACGUAGCGAAAUGCGAUACUUGGUGUGAAUUGCAGAAUCCCGUGAACCAUCGAGUCUUUGAACGCAAGUUGCGCCCGAAGCCACUAGGCCGAGGGCACGCCUGCCUGGGCGUCACACGUCGUUGCCCCCCCAUCUACUCCUUCGGGAUUGCGGGGGGGCGGAUGAUGGCCUCCCGUGCGCCUAGCCGCGCGGUUGGCAUAAAUACCAAGUCCUCGGCGACGCACGCCACGACAAUCGGUGGUUGCGAAACCUCGGUUGCCCGUCGUGUGCGUUCGUCGCGCAUCAAGGGCUCGAAAAAAUGCUCGGCUUCGGCUCGGCUUUCAACGCGACCCCAGGUCAGGCGGGGUUACCCGCUGAAUUUAAGCAUAUCAAUAAGCGGAGGA